rnacentral:rRNA from 1 species
AAACUCAAAUGAAUUGACGGGACCCGCACAAGCGGUGGAUGAUGUGGUUUAAUUCGAUGCAACGCGAAAACCUUACCCACCUUUGACAUGUACGGAACCCUUUAGAGAUAGAGGGGUGCUCGAAAGAGAGCCGUAACACAGGUGCUGCAUGGCUGUCGUCAGCUCGUGUCGUGAGAUGUUGGGUUAAGUCCCGUAACGAGCGCAACCCUUGUCCAUAGUUGCCAGCACGUAAAGGUGGGAACUCUAUGGAGACUGCCGGUGACAAACCGGAGGAAGGUGGGGAUGACGUCAAGUCAUCAUGGUCCUUAUGGGCAGGGCUACACACGUACUACAAUGGUCGGUACAAAGGGUUGCCAAGCCGCGAGGUGGAGCUAAUCCCAUAAAACCGAUCGUAGUCCGGAUCGCAGUCUGCAACUCGACUGCGUGAAGUCGGAAUCGCUAGUAAUCGUGAAUCAGAAUGUCACGGUGAAUACGUUCCCGGGCCUU